ACUACUUAGAAGCAUACAGGUGUGGCUGCUGUGUCACACGUGUGACAGCAGGUGGCAGAGAGGAGAGAAGCUUUGUCUAGGCUCAGUGUUCUGAUCGGUGAACAUCUGAAUGAUUAGUAGCCUGACAUU